UACGUAGGGCGCAAGCGUUAUCCGGAAUUAUUGGGCGUAAAGAGCUCGUAGGCGGUUUGUCGCGUCUGCCGUGAAAGUCCGGGGCUCAACUCCGGAUCUGCGGUGGGUACGGGCAGACUAGAGUGAUGUAGGGGAGACUGGAAUUCCUGGUGUAGCGGUGAAAUGCGCAGAUAUCAGGAGGAACACCGGUGGCGAAGGCGGCAUCCUGGACCAAUACUGACGCUGAGGAGCGAAAGCCAGGGGAGCAAACGGG
rnacentral:rRNA from 1 species